GUAGCGGGUCGGAGAGGAGGAUCCGCCACACUGGGACUGAGACACGUCCCAGACUCCUACGGGAGGCAGCAGUGGGGAAUAUUGGACAAUGGGGGGAACCCUGAUCCAGCCAUGCCGCGUGUGUGAAGAAGGCCUUAUGGUUGUAAAGCACUUUAAGCGAGGAGGAGGCUACUUUAGUUAAUACCUAGAGAUAGUGGACGUUACUCGCAGAAUAAGCACCGGCUAACUCUGUGCCAGCAGCCGCGGUAAUACAGAGGGUGCGAGCGUUAAUCGGAUUUACUGGGCGUAAAGCGUGCGUAGGCGGCUUAUUAAGUCGGAUGUGAAAUCCCCGAGCUUAACUUGGGAAUUGCAUUCGAUACUGGUGAGCUAGAGUAUGGGAGAGGAUGGUAGAAUUCCAGGUGUAGCGGUGAAAUGCGUAGAGAUCUGGAGGAAUACCGAUGGCGAAGGCAGCCAUCUGGCCUAAUACUGACGCUGAGGUACGAAAGCAUGGGGAGCAAACAGGAUUAGAUACCCUGGUAGUCCAUGCCGUAAACGAUGUCUACUAGCCGUUGGGGCCUUUGAGGCUUUAGUGGCGCAGCUAACGCGAUAAGUAGACCGCCUGGGGAGUACGGUCGCAAGACUAAAACUCAAAUGAAUUGACGGGGGCCCGCACAAGCGGUGGAGCAUGUGGUUUAAUUCGAUGCAACGCGAAGAACCUUACCUGGCCUUGACAUACUAGAAACUUUCCAGAGAUGGAUUGGUGCCUUCGGGAAUCUAGAUACAGGUGCUGCAUGGCUGUCGUCAGCUCGUGUCGUGAGAUGUUGGGUUAAGUCCCGCAACGAGCGCAACCCUUUUCCUUACUUGCCAGCAUUUCGGAUGGGAACUUUAAGGAUACUGCCAGUGACAAACUGGAGGAAGGCGGGGACGACGUCAAGUCAUCAUGGCCCUUACGGCCAGGGCUACACACGUGCUACAAUGGUCGGUACAAAGGGUUGCUACAC
rnacentral:rRNA from 1 species